GAACCAGUCUUCUGGCUGAGAUUGUUGCGUGCUACUGUGAUGCCUGGCUGCUUCAACGCAAGUGUGGCAGUUAGAGUUGAUCAGCUGUGCGUGAUGUUUCUCAGCUUGUUAGUCAACCUUUGUUCGUGCUUGGGGAUAACUGCGGGUUCCAUGUUCUUCUCUGCGGAGUUGAGCUCGUGCCUGUAAGGACUCAGGUGUGUACAAUUGGUGACAAAAUGGUUCUCUUCGACCCGUCUUGAAACACGGACCAAGGAGUCUAGCACAUGUGCAAGUUCACAGGUGGCAAGCCUGCUUGCGCAAUGAAGGUGACUGCUGGGAUAUUUGCACCAGCAACCGACCAAUCAAUUGAGAGAAGUUUGAGUAUGAGCAUAUGUGUUAGG
rnacentral:rRNA from 1 species